GAAAUAUGGGAUAGGGAUCCCCGUGUAUGAGAUUUGGGAGAUCCAGUUCCUCUUAGUUAUCGCCGCGGCGCUGCGAUCGCCGGGAGAAGGGCCGGCGGGGCUGCGCCAUGGCCGGCCGAAGCCCCUCCGCUACCCAGCUACCACCCUCUCCUUUUCCCAGCCCGGCCGAAUCCAUCCAUACCGCAGCUCCCCGCCUCCGCCCUACCACCACGGCACCACCCCUGCCGCCACCCCUGUUUUCAUUUGCAUCGGCAUCCUGUCCAUGCCCCCACCCAGGGAUGCGGCUUCGACUGCAACGGCAUCCUGCUGCAGCAGCCCAUAGAGUCGAACCUGCGCCUGCAAGAAACCAAGUUCAGAGCUCGGUUUCGUAUGGGUCGGUCAGUGCUGUACUAUUUAAGAAAGUUUAGAGAAGAACACUUCAGAUCAAUAGAGGUUAGCAUAUUGAAGCUCUUCCCUGAAUCCUACGGAUGCUGAUAAUGCACUAAAUAUUUGACCUGGUACUUAGAAGUCCUACAGGUAGUAAGUGACGUUGCUUCAUGCCUGGAAGCUUGAAGUCCUGAAGGCUGGAACACGAGCUGCUAGUGAAGUGCUUUUGGCCGUUGAAGUUUACUCAGUUUAUUUACUCAUUUGGUCUGUCAUGAAUUUGAAUUUCUAGGCUAAGUAAGUUCUUUUAUUGAGUACACUCGUUGUAGACGUUAAUAAAUUAGUUGAUACAAGUCAAUUUCUUCUGUAAGAUCGAUCCAUAACUGGCAAGGGUCUUGUUUCUCGACCCCCCGUGUAUGUUCCCGAGUCAUCGUCAAUGGUAUGGGGUUGUGUUCCU